rnacentral:rRNA from 1 species
GAUGAACGCUAGCUACAGGCUUAACACAUGCAAGUCGAGGGGCAGCGGUAUCGAAAGCUUGCUUUCGGUAGCCGGCGACCGGCGCACGGGUGAGUAACGCGUAUCGAACCUGCCUCAUACUCGGGUAUAGCCUUGCGAAAGUAAGAUUAAUGCCCGGUGUUUUCAGAGUCCCGCAUGAGGCUUUGAACAAAGAUUUAUCGGUAUGAGAUGGCGAUGCGUCCCAUUAGCUUGUUGGCGGGGUAACGGCCCACCAAGGCAUCGAUGGGUAGGGGUUCUGAGAGGAAGGUCCCCCACAUUGGAACUGAGACACGGUCCAAACUCCUACGGGAGGCAGCAGUGAGGAAUAUUGGUCAAUGGGCGGAAGCCUGAACCAGCCAAGUAGCGUGCAGGAAGACGGCCCUCCGGGUUGUAAACUGCUUUUAGUUGGGAAUAAAACGGGGCUCGUGAGCCCCCUUGCAUGUACCAUCAGAAAAAGGACCGGCUAAUUCCGUG